UAAAUAAGGAAAUUUUCAAAAAAAAAUCCAUGAGGUUUUAUACUUUUUUAUUUUACUAUUCUGUGGUUUAAAGUGUAUCGAGUUAGUACCUGUAGUUUCACACUUUUCACUUUAGUAUUCUGUAGUUUAAAGUGUAUUAAGUUAGUAUUCUGUAAUUUUAUUUUUGUAACAAGUUAGUACCCUAUGGUUUUAUUUUUGUAUCAAGUUAGUACCCUGUGCUUUUAUUUUUCUCUUAAUGAAAUAUUAAACCACAAGGUACUAAAGUGAGAAAGUGCGAAACCACAGGGUACUAACUUGAUACACUUUAAACCACAGGGUACUAAAGUGAGAAAGUGCGAAACCACAGGGUACUAACUUGAUACACUUUAAACCACAGGGUACUAAAGUAAAAAAGUGCGAAACCACAGAGUACUAACUUGAUAUACUUCAAACCACAGGAUACUAAAGUGAGAAAGAGUAAAAUCACAAUAGGAGUAUUUGAAGUUUUUCCUAAUGAAUAAUAAAUUGAUUAGUAAUUAAAAUUCAUGCAU
rnacentral:lncRNA from 1 species